rnacentral:rRNA from 1 species
GACGAACGCUGGCGGCGUGCCUGACCCAUGCAAGUCGGACGAAGGUAUAGCAAUAUACCUGAGUGGCGGACGGGUGAGUAACACGUGAACAAUCUGCCCAUGGCUGGGGGAUAACGCAGGGAAACUUGCGCUAAUACCGCAUAAGACCACGGCCUCGCAUGGGGCUGAGGUCAAAGGAGCAAUCCGGCGAUGGAGGGGUUCGCGUCCCAUUAGCUAGUUGGUGAGGUAACGGCCCACCAAGGCGACGAUGGGUAGCCGAGCUGAGAGGCUGAACGGCCACACUGGAACUGAGAUACGGUCCAGACUCCUACGGGAGGCAGCAGGGAGGAAUAUUGGGCAAUGGGGGAAACCCUGACCCAGCAACGCCGCGUGAAGGAUGAAGG